rnacentral:lncRNA from 1 species
CUUAUUUACAUCUAAUAAAUGAGGUUCUUGAUCUCUUAGGGCCGUUCUCAGGAGGCUAGGACUAUGCAUCUGAGAAGUAGGGCACAGGCCUACAUAUCUACCUCUGGAGUAAAGCGCUGGCUAUAAAUCUGGCUCAUUUAUCUUAAAACAGCAACCUGGCCCCCUCUCCAAAUAGCCUUAUUCCCCUUUACACCUGUCAGGCCAGAAUGGAGAGGAAAUCUCAGGACUUCCUGAGAACGAUAUGGAAUGAGCCCUUCCUCAACAAGCAGCCAGAAUCCCAUGUGCGGAGGCAUGCGCCCUUGAAAAAAUCAUUUCCUAGUACAGUGUGGGGAGGGCCUGUGUUUCAUGAGCUUGCACUUCGUGAGCUUUCUUCUGGGAAGGAAGAGAGGCCACCCUAGACACACCCCGAUCUCCUCAGUAUUGCAGCAUUCGCAUGCCCUUUGUUCCCUCAGGCAGAAAACAGGUACUCCCCAGAGCAGCACAGUGGCACCCGAGAAAAACUCCCAAAUAUUUUCUGUGCAGAUUUCUCCGUCCUCCAUUCAGUGGGCUUUAGUACCAAUGGUGAGCCCCCAUUUUCGAAGGAAACCAUCAGUGAUCACUAAGAAAAGAAGAAAAAAAAAAAAAA